rnacentral:rRNA from 1 species
AGUGAACGCUGGCGGUAGGCCUAACACAUGCAAGUCGAACGGCAGCACAGUAAGAGCUUGCUCUUACGGGUGGCGAGUGGCGGACGGUUGAGGAAUACAUCGGAAUCUACUUUUUCGUGGGGGAUAACGUAGGGAAACUUACGCUAAUACCGCAUACGACCUACGGGUGAAAGCAGGGGAUCUUCGGACCUUGCGCGAUUGAAUGAGCCGAUGUCGGAUUAGCUAGUUGGCGGGGUAAAGGCCCACCAAGGCGACGAUCCGUAGCUGGUCUGAGAGGAUGAUCAGCCACACUGGAACUGAGACACGGUCCAGACUCCUGCGGGAGGCAGCAGUGGGGAAUAUUGGACAAUGGGCGCAAGCCUGAUCCAGCCAUACCGCGUGGGUGAAGAAGGCCUUCGGGUUGUAAAGCCCUUUUGUUGGGAAAGAAAAGCAGCAGGUUAAUACCCCGCUGUUCUGACGGUACCCAAAGAAUAAGCACCAGCUAACUUCGUG